CUUGACUGAUCAUCACUGACAUGAGGCCUCUGUUGAUGGUUGAAGACAAAGGCUUUGCUACAAUGAUCUUAUUUGUUCUGUUUCCCAGAGACUAUGAGCUGAGGAGGAAUUGGAAGUUUGUCGGCUUAGACCUGGUGUCAUUCCAUCAGUGUUAAACUUCCCAGCUCAUCUUGGAAGAGUACGUGCCAGAAAGACCACAACCAAGCAGCCUUGAGAUCUUAGGCAGCAUCUCCCUGAGACCAAAGAACUACAGACUCUUCACAACCUGCUCAAACUCUUGGUACAGGACCUCACCACACGGGUCAAGAAGGUUUCCGUCUCAUUUCUACUCUGAAGCUCACCUUCUCCUGCUCAAACUGCUGACAAAUGUUUCUGCUGCUCUAAAGUCUGGUCUCCAGAACUUCCUAAAAACUCUCAAAGUCUCUUCUGCUGCAGGUUGCUUUGUAGAACUGUUCCAGAAAACCUCACUAAACCACAUGGAGGAGCCUCAAGAUAGUCGUCCAAAUGAAACUACAAAAACCAAACUAGCACAACCCAA
ensembl:lncRNA